rnacentral:rRNA from 1 species
CAUAGGUUUGGUCCCAGCCUUCCUGUUAACUCUUAAUAAACUUACACAUGCAAGCAUCUACACCCCAGUGAGAAUGCCCUCUAGGUUAUUAAAACUAAGAGGAGCUGGCAUCAAGCACACACCCUGUAGCUCACGACGCCUUGCUUAACCACACCCCCACGGGAAACAGCAGUGACAAAAAUUAAGCCAUAAACGAAAGUUUGACUAAGUUAUAUUAAUUAGGGUUGGUAAAUCUCGUGCCAGCCACCGCGGUCAUACGAUUAACCCAAGCUAACAGGAGUACGGCGUAAAAAAUAAAUGACGAAAGUGACCCUACAAUAGCCGACGCACUAUAGCUAAGACCCAAACUGGGAUUAGAUACCCCACUAUGCUUAGCCCUAAACACAGAUAAUUACAUAAACAAAAUUAUUCGCCAGAGUACUACUAGCAACAGCUUAAAACUCAAAGGACUUGGCGGUGCUUUAUAUCCUUCUAGAGGAGCCUGUUCUAUAUAAUCACUAGUGAAU